GGGACCAACAAGUACCAUAUUUUCAUGUCUUUUGGUAUGACGCGGUCGGGGAUCGAACCCGCGAACUUCCGCUCUCCGGGCGGACACUCUAACCACUACACCACGGAGGCGGUCUUAUAACCUAUAAGUUAGAUAAAGACAAACAUUAUGGAUGAACAACUUGUGUAUUCAGAUGAUGAGAAGUUUCUUGUAUCGUUAUGAGGUAGGUAUGGAUGACAGAAUCUGUGUCGAAAUGUCGCAUCACCUCAAUAAAGAAGUUGUUUAUCCAUAAAUAUUCCGUUAAUGCUGCAGCACGUCCUUUUGACAACUACAGACGCACAAUCGAACACUUAAAAGGACGUCAUGCAGCUAUUGCUCAAGGGUGUUCUGAGCUACAUUCGUCAUCUGAACAAAUGCUGUAAACAAUUUUCAUGGCAUUAUUUAUCCAAUGCCUUAUUCAAUAAACAAUUUGAAUUAAAA